rnacentral:rRNA from 1 species
UGGAUAACCUGCCCUCGGCACCGGAAUAGCCCGGGGGAAACUCGGAUUAAUGCCGGAUAGCCCCACAGUCCUGCGGGACGGUGGGAAAAGGUAGCUUCGGCCUCUGGCCGAGGAUGGGUCCGCGGCGGAUUAGCUAGUUGGUGGGGUAACGCCCACCAAGGCGACGAUCCGUAGCUGGUCUGAGAGGACGAACAGCCACACUGGGACUGAGACACGGCCCAGACUCCGUACGGGAGGCAG